GAUGAACGCUGGCGGCGUGCCUAAUACAUGCAAGUCGAGCGAACGGACGAGAAGCUUGCUUCUCUGAUGUUAGCGGCGGACGGGUGAGUAACACGUGGAUAACCUACCUAUAAGACUGGGAUAACUUCGGGAAACCGGAGCUAAUACCGGAUAAUAUUUUGAACCGCAUGGUUCAAAAGUGAAAGACGGUCUUGCUGUCACUUAUAGAUGGAUCCGCGCUGCAUUAGCUAGUUGGUAAGGUAACGGCUUACCAAGGCAACGAUGCAUAGCCGACGUGAGAGGGUGAUCGGCCACACUGGAACUGGGACACGGUCCAGACUCCUACGAGAGGCAGCAGUAGGGAAUCUGCCGCAAUGGGCGAAAGCCUGACGGAGCAACGCCGCGUCAGUGAUGAAGGUCUUCGGAUCGUAAAACUCUGUUAUUAGGGAAGAACAUAUGUGUAAGUAACUGUGCACAUCUUGACGGUACCUAAUCAGAAAGCCACGGCUAACUACGUG
rnacentral:rRNA from 1 species